UAAUGAGUUCUGACCUGCAGGUGGCUCCCACACAGGACCUCAUAAAGAAGAGCAGCUCCUCAUCAGAGCAGGAAAUGUGUGAAGAGGUAGACACUGACAUGGAAGAAAAGGAAGAAGAUUCCAAACAACCCAAGAAGAAGAUCCCUAGAAAAGCAGCAGCCAAGCAGCUCAUUGCACACUUAAAGGUCUUUUCCAAAUUCACCAACCCAAAAGCUUUAUAUAUGGAGGCAAAACUAAGUCAACUGUAUAUCCAAGUAUGAUUUCCCAUCUUAAUGUGAAAGAUAAUUUUACUUAUUAAUGGCUGCCUGAGACAAAUUUUUCUCUAACCCACCGCUUCUGUGCCAUAAAGACCACCAAAUCCAGAAAAUAGCACUGUAAUGUUUGAUGACAUACAAAGACCCAAACAUUCUGGUCUACAAAGAGAUCCUGGAGAGACUUCUGAAUGACAAGCACUUUAAAGAUGAGAUUGUCCAUUUCAACAUCUCAGAGGAAGGAGCCGCGGUACUUCUGUCGCAUAGACCCCAGCUCAUUUCCAUGCUUAUGAGGAUACUAUAUGGGCGGAUGUGCCCUAGGGUUGGUAAUAGGUUUCAGGGUAAGGCGAACACAGCUUUGCAUUCCUCCAUAGUGCUGCGCUUCCUGGCAGGCUGUCAGGCAGAGGAGUUGGGCAUGUUUAUAGAUCUUCUGCUGGAGCCUGUUUGUCAUCAUGCUGAAGGAGCAUGUCUGGCCGCAAUAGAAUGAGCUGUAGCCGAGACAAACCUGUCUGCUGUUCUCCCUGUGGGUCACCAACACAGCCUGCUCAACACCAUAGAAAUGCUCAUCCAAAAAAUGGGCCAUCUCAUCCACAUCUACCUGCCCAAAGUUCUGCAGAUCCUGCUGUGCAUCACGGCCUCAGUGUCAUUUAUACUGGAUCACAGAGAACAGCUCAAACCUGGCUGCAUCAAUCUUCUGAAGAACUUCAUUAUUCGUAUUCACCAGCACUCCUCGUGAAAGUCAUCCGUGUGUGGAGCCAAAAUCCUAGAGCUGCUUAAUAGCUGGAUAUAAUUGGUUCCUAAAUUGUUGAACUUUGUAACAUCCGACAUUGAACCGAAUCGAAUCAGCACUGAACUGACUUAACCUGAAUAAAGUAUUUUCCUUUGUUUGCUAAGCAGAGACCGGGCCACCCUGAGUGUGAUGUCCUGCUCAGUGUAUUUGCUCUGUUACCCUCCAAAAACGUGUCUGCCAUCACGACGGCCAUAGUGAUGGAAAUAGCAGAGAGCUUGCUAACCUCUCCAGACUAUGAACCCAAGGAGAAUGAAUCAGAUCUGAUUCUGAAUGACUGUGUGAUCCCCGAACCCGAUCAGAGCUGUUAUGUAUCAGGGUAGAUUCUUUGACUAUCGGCUGCCAUCUGCUCCUUCCUCACAUCCCAGCACUGCUGCAGUACCUCAGCGGAGUCGUGUGUAACUCUGAACGCCUCAAGAAGAAGAAAUUCAUCAAACAUCCUCUCAAAACCCCACACUGAAGAAUCUGGCUCAGGAGUUGAUCGAGUUGUUGAAGAAGCUGGUCGGUCUGGAGCGAUUCUCUCUGGCCUUUGCCGCAGUGCAGAAAGAAGCCGCUCAGAGACGAGCUUCACGCAAGAAAGCCAAAGCCAUGCAGGCUGUUGUAAAUCCUGACAUUGCUGCCAGAAAGAAGGUAAAGAAGCAGUUUAAGAAAAACGAGGCCAAAAAGCGGAAAAUCGCAUUUGUGUGUACAGGACAUAAAGCAAAGAAACAUAAAGGCACGUCACUGAAAGACUUG